rnacentral:rRNA from 1 species
AGCAUUAUCAUUGAUCUCGUAAUUGGUGACUCGGCAGAAGGAUUGGAGGAGAUAUAAACUGUCUUAAAAAUAUUUAAUUGAAUUUAAUUUUUUAAUUAAAAAGUUAAGAUAAAUUAAAAAGACGAGAAGACCCUAUAGAGUUUUAUAUUAAUUUAAAUUAAAAUUAUUUAUAAAUUUAUUAGUAUAAAUUUAAUUUUGUAUUUUAUUGGGGUGAUAAAAAAAUAAAUUAAACUUUUUUUAAAAAUUUACAUAAAUAAGUGAAUUAUUGAUCCAAUUUUAUUGAUUAUAAGAAAAAAUUACCUUAGGGAUAACAGCGUAAUUUUUUUUUUUAGUUCUAGUGAAAAA